UGAUGAGUGUUUAUUCUGAAGGAAGUAGUGUUCUCUAUUAUCCAGAUCGGAGCAUGGAUAUGUAAUCAGCAUGGCGCCUUUGAAUAGGAGCAGCUCAUGCAUAAUGCCGUGGAGGUUCCUGUCCUGAGUAUGGUAUACACGGGAUUAUAUUGCCCCACACUGUGCAGUCAUUUAGGUUCAACUUCAUCCUACUUGAGUGUUUCAUGGUUUUCUAUUGCUGCAGUCUUUGCGCUGAUUCAUUUAGCUAGGUUUUGCACAACCAUGUUUUCAGGGCAGAAUGCAGAUCAUGAACAAGAACAAGGCUUAUCUCAAUUCUUCAAUCCACGACUGAUUUGUGGUUGAAGGUUGGAUGUCACAACAAGCGGCCCCAAAUACUAAAUUGAGCAUGUGUUCAAAGGAAAACUACUUUUCAGAGAUGGGCCAUAUUUUAUUGUUGCUGUCGAAAUCUUGACCUCACCAAUAAAGAUAGUUUUUAUUUCUUCCCAAAAUUGGAGACUUAUCAAGUGAGGAACGGUGAAACUCAUGGGACAGAAAUUCUCUUUCUUUUUUGAGAAUGCUACCAACCUUAUCUUUAAUAUUUUUUUUUGGACUUCAUCCCUUCUCCUCCUGCCAUGUGUUGCCUUCUUUAUACUAAAAUAAUGUCAUUAAUACGUA